rnacentral:misc_RNA from 1 species
UGGUUCUGGCAUCGAUGAAGAACGCAGCGAAAUGCGAUAAGUAAUGUGAAUUGCAGAAUUCAGUGAAUCAUCGAAUCUUUGAACGCACAUUGCGCCCGCUAGUACUCUAGCGGGCAUGCCUGUUCGAGCGUCAUUUCAACCCUCAAGCCCCGGCUUGGUGUUGGGGAUCAGCUAGUGAUAGCUGGCCCUGAAAUCUAGUGGCGGUCUCGCUGUAGCUUCCUCUGCGUAGUAGCACACCUCGCUCUGGGAAACAGCGCGGCUCAGCCGUAAAACCCCCCACUUCUUAAAGGUUGACCUCGAAUCAGGUAGGAAUACCCGCUGA